AUACGGAUGGUGCGAGCGUUGUUCGGAAUUACUGGGCGUAAAGGGCGCGUAGGCGGCGAUGUAAGUCAAAUGUGAAAGUCCUCGGCUUAACCGGGGAAGUGCAGCUGAAACUGCAUUGCUUGAGUAUGGGAGAGGAAAGUGGAAUUCCCGGUGUAGAGGUGAAAUUCGUAGAGAUCGGGAGGAAUACCGGUGGCGAAGGCGACUUUCUGGACCAAUACUGACGCUGAGGCGCGAAAGCGUGGGGAGCAAACAGGAUUAGAAACCCUAGUAGUCC
rnacentral:rRNA from 1 species